rnacentral:rRNA from 1 species
GAUGAACGCUGGCGGCGUGCCUAAUACAUGCAAGUCGAGCGAACAGACGAGGAGCUUGCUCCUCUGACGUUAGCGGCGGACGGGUGAGUAACACGUGGAUAACCUACCUAUAAGACUGGGAUAACUUCGGGAAACCGGAGCUAAUACCGGAUAAUAUAUUGAACCGCAUGGUUCAAUAGUGAAAGACGGUUUUGCUGUCACUUAUAGAUGGAUCCGCGCCGCAUUAGCUAGUUGGUAAGGUAACGGCUUACCAAGGCAACGAUGCGUAGCCGACCGUAGAGGGUGAUCGGCCACACUGGAACUGAGACACGGUCCAGACUCCUACGGGAGGCAGCAGUAGGGAAUCUUCCGCAAUGGGCGAAAGCCUGACGGAGCAACGCCGCGUGAGUGAUGAAGAUCUUCGGAUCGUAAAACUCUGUUAUUAGGGAAGAACAAAUGUGUAAGUAACUAUACACGUCUUGACGGUACCUAAUCAGAAAGCCACGGCUAACUACGUG